GUUGAUCACGAGCAAAGAGUCAUCAAAGGAAGAUGUUCAGUGGUCUAUUACGGGCACAGGUGAAGAUAAUAUUUAAGAGACUCAUAAUAGAGGUUACAGGACAAAGGGGAUCCCACCACCAGUCCCUUUCUAUGGGGGAGAACUUGGACCAGUUCUGCUGUCAGUUUAUACAGUGAGAUCCUCACCAUAUGCAACUCUCAAGGCUGGGAAGAUGACACGCCGCCAAAAUGGCUGGGAAACAUGGAGAAGCAGAGAGCUUGUGGCUGGACCACCUUACAAGGAGAAGUGACUUCUGCAAAAUUCCAUCAUGCUGCCGGCUGCUACUCUCCCUCCUUGGCGCCACUACUUUGAGACACUCACAUAGUAUCAGUGACAUUUUACACAAAUAAACUAACAAAACCCA